rnacentral:lncRNA from 1 species
CUUUGUUGUAGUGGCCCGGCCAUGUUGUCGUGGCACAAUGGCGGCUUUGUUAUUGUGUGUGCCCUCACACGUGUUGCGCCGUAGGUUUCGUACCGUGACAAUGGCGUCGU